rnacentral:rRNA from 1 species
UCCGAAGAGGUCUAGCGCUGUUCGGAAUUACUGGGCGUAAAGCGCACGUAGGCGGCUCUGUAAGUUGGGGGUGAAAUCCCGAGGCUCAACCUCGGAAUUGCCUUCAAGACUGCAGGGCUUGAGUUCGGGAGAGGUGAGUGGAAUUCCCAGUGUAGAGGUGAAAUUCGUAGAGAUUGGGAAGAACACCAGUGGCGAAGGCGGCUCACUGGCCCGUAACUGACGCUGAGGUGCGAAAGCGUGGGGAGCAAACAGG